AGUCUCAUCUAUGGAUUGGCUAGUGAUUACUUUGGUGGUUUGGGGUUCAUUGGAUUUGCAAUUAACCUUAACUGUUCCCUUUUUUCUAUUCUUGCAGCCAUCGGUUACAAGGUAGUGAAUUAUUCUUUGAUGGGGCUGCCCUAUUCGUCUGUUUGUUGUUGAGGUUUCUUUAGUCAAGUCUUUUAUGAGUAUUCUGAUUUUCGAUUCAGUUUUCUUCCCUAAUGAAUCCUUUGACUUUGCCAAAACUAUUGUUGUAGGGAAGUUUCUCAACAAAGAUAUUUAUUUUCACUGGUAUAUGUUAUAUUUUGCUGCCAUGAAGUUUUUAGUCCAGACAGUUGCAUUUUUCGAUGAUCCAAUUGAUGAGGUCUCCUAUGACUAUGAACACUUGAUAAGUACUCGUUCUAGAUCUUUUUAUAGUGGUGUAAAAUACUUAUUUCACUUUUAUUCUUGUAGCUACUUAUGUUUCUUCUCUGCUUCCAUUUCUUUUUCGUCAUCACAUAGUUUUUUUUUGUGGUUGGAUGUGUAGACCAUGUGGUAACACUUUUAUGGACAUUUAGAUUUGAAAAUUUCAAAACUUGGUUAACAACAUGUGAUCCUCUGCCACUGUUUUUGUUCUUUUUGGUGCUUGCAUUGCAGUUAACAUAUUGUGCGGUUUUGACAAAAGGGUGUUUUCAGUCUCGUCUAUGGCAUCUCUAGUGAUUACUUAGGUGGUUUGGGGUUUGUCAGAUUUGGACUUAACUGCUCCCUUCUUUCUGUUAUUGCAACCAUUGAUUACAGGGUAGUGAAUUAUUCUUUUCAUGAAGAGGCUAUUUUUGUCCGUUUGUUGUUGAGGUUUCUUUAGUUCAGUCUUUUAUGAGUAUCGGAAUUUUCGAUUCAAUCUUCUUCCCUAAUGGCUCCUUUGUCUUUGUCAAAACUACUAUUGCAUGGAAGUUUCUCAACAAGGAUAUUAAUUUUCACCGGUAUGUGUUGUAUUCUGCUGCCAUGAGGUUUUUAGUUUGGACGCUAGUGUUCUUUGAUGAUCCAAUUGUCUAUGGCUAUGAAUACUUGAUAAGUACUUCACCAAUUUUAUAUCUUUUGAUAGUGGUAUAAAAUACUUCUUCACUUUUAUUCUUGUAGCUACUUGCUUAUCUUCUUUGCUUCCAUUUCGUUGUCGUUAUUACACUAGUUAUUUUUGGUUGGAUGGAUGUGUAGAUCAUGUGGUGAUACUGUUAUGGAUGUUAAAAUUUGGAUAUUUCAAAGCGUGGUUAACCAACAUGUGAUCCUCUGCCACCUUUUGAUCUUUUUGGUGCUUGCACGACAACCUAGAUAUUGUCCGAGCUUUGACAAAAUGGAGUUUUUAGUCACAUAUAUGGCAUCUCUAGUGAUUACUUAAGUGGUUUGGGGUUUGUCGGAUUUACAUUUAACUGUUCCCUUCUUUCUGUUCUUGCAGCCAAUGGUUAUAGGGAAGUGAAUUUUUGUUUUCAUGGAGGGGCCGUGUUUGAUUGUUUGUGUUGAGGUUUUUUUUAGUUAAGUCUUUUAUGAGUAUCGAUAUUACGGAUUUAGUUUUCUUCCUUAAUAGCUCCUUUGUUUUGUAUGGAAGGUUUUCUCAACUAAGAUAUUAAUUUUCACUAGCAUGUGUUAUAUUUUGCUGCCAUGAGGUUUUUAGUCCAGAUGGCUUAUGUUCUUCGAUGAUCCAAUUGAUGAGGUCUCAUUUGUCUAUCGAUUCUUGGUAAGUACUCUGCUAAUUUUGGAUCUUUUGAUAGUUGCGUAAAAUACUUCUUCACUUCUAUUCUUGCAGCUACUUAUCUUCUCCACUUCCAUUUCUUUUUCGUUAUCACAUUAGCUAUUUUUGGUUGGAUGGAUGUGUAGACCACGUGGUGACACUGUUAUGGACGUUCAAAUUUAGAAAUUUCAAAUCUUGGUUAGCCAACAUGUGAUCCUCUGCCACCUUUUGGUCUUUUGGUGCUUUGCACUGCAAUUUGGAUGUUGUUUGGGUUUUGACGAAAGGGGGUUUUAGUCUCGUCUAUGGCAUCUAUAGUGAUUAAUUAGGUGGUUAGUUUGUCAGAUUUGCUCUCAAUUGUUCCCUUCUUUCUAUUCUUGUAGCCAUUGAUUACAGGGCAGUGGAUUAUUCUUUUGACGAUGCAGUCAUGUUUGUCCAUUUGUGUUGAGGUUUCCUUAGUCAAGUCUUUUUUUCUUAAACAGGACAUUAUUCUUCACUGGCGUGUGUUGUAUUCUGCCGCCAAGAAGAUUUAGGUCCAGAUGGCUUUGUUCUUCGAUGAUCCAAUUAAUGACGUCUCCUAUGACUAUGGACACUUGAUAACUCAACCAAUUCUACAUCAUCUGAUAGUGGCGUGAAGUACUUCUUUUACUUUUUUUCUUCUAGCCAUUGGGUCUUACAGAGUGAUGAAUCAUUCUUUUCAUGGAGCGGCUUUCUUUGUCCAUUUAUGUCGAGGUUUCCAUGGUUCAAGCUUUUAUAAGUUCUAACAUUUUCGAGUAAAAUAGUUUUUUUCCCAUUAGUAUGUGUUGUUCUACUGGCAUGUUUAGUUUUUAGUCCAGAUGUUUGUUUUCUUCAAUGAUCCAAUGAUGAGAUUCAUGAUGGUUGAUGGUUAUUGUCUCAUGGACAUCUGACAAGUACUCAAUUUUGGAUCUUUUGAAAGCCUCGUAAAAUGGUUGGUGUCCAGUGUGCAUUCCUGUGCACCCUAUUUCUUGGGCAUGUUGGUGCUUGCACUACAAUCUAGAGAUAGCAGGCUUCGAAAGAAGCUGCUGGGUCUUACAGAGCCAUAGAUUCGUCUUUUCAUGGAGUGGCGUGGUCUGUCAAUUUUGUGUUGAGGUUUUUUGGUUGAUGCUUCUAAUGAUUAUUGAGAUCUUCAAUUCAGUUUUAUUCCCUAAUCAGAAUGGUUCCGUUCUUCCUUGUCAACAAUACUUCACUGGUGUGUAUUUUGUUGCCAUAUAUGUUUCUUAAUAAUCCAGAUGCUUAUGUUCUUUGAUGAUCCAACUGAUGAGAUCUCCAUGGUUAUGGACAACACAUGAUAAGUGUAAUCAAGCUCAGUCUUGGAUCUUCUGAUGGAUCUUUUAAUAGCCUUGUAACACACUUCUCUAGUUUUCGUGUUCUCUCUACUUACCUUUCUCUGAUUUCAUUUAACCUACCAGUUUAUUUAGUUUGGUUGGAUGAAUUUAUAAUUUUGGUUUCGGUGUGCAUCCUUGUGGACCAUGUUGACCAUUUUGGUGCUUGCACUGCAAUUUGGAUAUUGGAUAUCACCAUGCCUUAAGAAAAGGGCACUUUGCAAUCUUAUCUUGUUUGGCAUCUCGAGUGAUCUCUCCCGUGUGGUAUGGUUUUCCACUCACCUGUUACAUUAUUUUUUGUGCAUGUAACCAUUGGGUCUUCCAGAGCAUGGACUUCAAGUCAGUUGUCUUCCUAAUCAGUAUGGAAUAUGAGCAGAUUUGUGAGUUGCAGAAAAGAACGUCCGUCAGAAAGCUUGGCCUCCUGUGCUCGAAGUGAGACCUGAAGGGUGAGCUUAUGGCGCACGAAAUCCAUCUCUCGGUUUUGCAGAUCUAUUUUGAAUUGUGAAUUUGCUGUGAGUUCUCACUUUUGUUGGUUUCUCGAGGUAUCCGGGGUCUUCCUGCUUAGAUUAUGCCAAUUUCUUUCUCUGUUUUACCAGGGUAAUGAUUGUAUGGGUAUAGACAAUGCAGUUUCUGUUGUCGGAUGUCAAUAAUCUUUGUAACGAAGUAAACCUCAUCUCUGGUACCUCCAACAAAUCAUCUUUUCUUGCGUCUUCUCUUUUGGAACACUAUUCAACAGAAGUUUAUGAGCCUUUCCUUGUA